rnacentral:rRNA from 1 species
AUUGAACGCUGGCGGCAGGCUUAACACAUGCAAGUCGAGCGAGCGGCGGAGGGGGGGGUAAUGUCUGGGAAACUGCCUGAUGGAGGGGGAUAACUACUGGAACGGGUAGCUAAUCCCGCAUACCUUGAGAUGUGCCCAGAUGGGAUUAGCUAGUAGGUGGGGUAAGGGCUCACUUAGGCGACGAUCCCUAGCUGGUCUGAGAGGAUGACCAGCCACACUGGAACUGAGACACGGUCCAGACUCCUACGGGAGGCAGCAGUGGGGAAUAUUGCACAAUGGGCGCAAGCCUGAUGCAGCCAUGCCGCGUGUGUGAAGAAGGCCUUCGGGUUGUAAAGUACUUUCAGCGAGGAGGCGUUACUCGCAGAAGAAGCACCGGCUAACUCCGUGCCAGCAGCCGCGGUAAUUC